UGUGGCCUUAUCCUGCUUCCUUUGAACACAAUGGUGAAACUCAUCACUAACUUCAAUGAUGCAGGAACAGGUGCCUGAGAGACUGAUCCUGAAAGGCACUGAGCCAGCACAGUUUCAAAAUUCUCACACUCCCAACCUCUGAGCAGCUCAAAAAGCAGAGAUUUAAAAUUCCUCUGCUCUCUAAAGUCUCGGACAAUAUUCAGUCCUGGAUCAGUGACAGGUUUAAGAUGUGAUCCGGUGUCUUUUGUCAUAAUCCGCUAGGGCUAGAGUUACCUGCUACGUCUCAUAAGAGAGCUGUGUGAUUGCAUGAUCUCUGGAAGAUCCCAAGAUACUGGCUCUCAAAACUGCAACAGCCUGAUAUACAGAAAAGAGUGCUGCCAUCCGGAGGAGACUUGUGCUGGCACCUGCUUCAUGAGGCCACCUGCUCCUCUGCUAGCUGUGGCACUGGAGGGCUUCCUGGCUCCAGAGCAUAAGCCUCGGAGGAAAGAUGGUGCCAGAAGUGUACAAAAACAAUGCCAGUGGAGAAACCUUUGGAUGGGAACAGAGACUGGAUGAAGUCCAUGAACAGGGAGCCCCUGGGAGAGCACAGCGGUGACACUAGGAAUGGGAAGAUGGUGGAGCCAUGAGCCUUAGCAGCUGAAGGCAAGGAAGAAGGCCUAGGUGAAGGAACAUCAGCCCCCUGGAGGACAGACUUUCCUCAUGGGGGACAAAUGUCAGGAGAAAUUAAGUGAGCGGUAGCUACCGACAUAUUUUAGGACAAUGGAGAUUUUGUGGAAGAACAAAGAAAUACCCUGACAUUGGGACAAGCCUACAACCAGCUGGCCCAGGUCAAUGGUACAGUGGCAGAUCCUUGAUUCCUGAAACAAUGGCCACAUUUUGAGCUAAAGGGAGAGAAAAUGUCUAGAGUGGAGAAGGACCACCAGACAUGGGAGGUUAAAAUGCAACCUCUUAUCUCAAAGAAGUAAUGCAGGGAAAUACUAUGCCUGGCACACUCCAAACCCUAUGGGGGACACCUUGAUCAAGAGACAACAUUUAACCAAGUGUCACUUUAUUCUUAGUGGGGAGGUGUCCACCGGGAGGUAUGAGAGUAGUGCACCUCCUGCCCAGAACUCCAGUGGGUGAGUGAAAGGAAGCUACCCCAGAACCGGUUGAUACUCCUGCCUGUGAUAGGGACCCCAGCUGAGAGCAUUGGCAUGGACAUGGUGGGUCUCUUGGAAAAGAGUGCUGCUGGGUUCCAUCACAUGAGAGUCAUAUUAGACUAUGGCACAUGGUACCCCAAAGUGAUUCUGCUCUGCUCCACAGAGCUUAUAAAAGUGUUUGCCUGGGUGGGGAUCCCUUGGGAAACAAUCCCAGAUCAGGGCACCAACUUUAUAUCCAAACUUAUGCAAGCCUAAACUGUGUAGCCUGUUGAAGAUAAAAGCCUUAAGCCUGUCGGUGUCUGACAGGCUGGUAUAGAGAUUUAAUAAGACCUUGAAAAGUAUGCUGCAGAAGUUCAUAGCCUUGGAACCUUGCCAGCGGGGCCAAUUACUUCUGUCACUCCUGUUCAAUGUCCAUGAAAUCUCUCAGGCAUUGACAGGGUUCUCCCUGUUUGAAUUAGUACAUGGGAGACAGCUGAGGGAAAUACUAGAACUCCUUCAGGAGACAUGGGAGGAAUGUUGUUAUAAGGCCACAAACUCGGUACAGUAUCUGCUACUACUGAGAGAGAAGUUAAAGACCUUAGAUGAGUUUGCGAGAGAAGUCAAGGUGCAACAGGGACAAGCACAAGCAUACAACAAGGGUACCCAUGUCCAGGAGUUCCAACCACAGGCCCGGAUGCUGCUACUUCUUCCCACCUCAGAAUCCAAAGUGUUGAUCAGAUGGCUAGGAACCUUUGAAAUAAUCAGACAAAUUGGAGCUGUAAACUAUGAGGCAAGAGAACAGAUACUAAGGUGUAUUAUGUCAACCUGCUAAAUGUCUAGAAAGAUUGAGAAGGGCUCCUGGUAAGGCUGUUUCCCCCAGAACUGCAACUCGCAGUUUCUAACCCCCAGCUCCAACCAUGUCCCGGUGGGAGAAGAGCUGAAGGUGGAACAAAAGCAGCAGAUCCAAAAAUUCGCCUAGUCUUUUCCACAGUUCCUGGACAGACUCCCCCAGUGUUCCAUCACAUAGAGAACAAACCAGGGAAAAAGAUGAGAGAGAACUUUUGGCCAUUGCUGACACAUGUGGGAAACAGUACAGAAGGAAAGGCAAGCUAUAUUAGACUUCAGGAUAGUCAAGGAGUCACAUAGCGAGUGGCAAAGCCCUAUAGUGUUGGUACCUAAACAGGAUGGAUCUACCAGUUUCUGCAUAGAUUUCCAGAAGGUCAAUGCCGUGUCCAAAUUAGAUGCCUACCUGAUGCAAAAAGUUGACAAGUUGUUAGAGAGGUUAGGGGAAAUCAGGUAUAUCACUGUUCUUGACCUGACCAGGGAUUACUGUCAGAUCCCCUUAAGCCUGGAGUCCCAAGAAAAGACAGAUUUCUACAUACCAUUUGGCUUGUAUCAGUUUAAGACUAUUGUAGCCAUGCAGUAAUCAUAUGAUAAAGGGGUAAGGAACUGAUAGUAUGACCCCAUGAGACAUACAGGGGAAGACCUAUAAGAAUAGCUUAAGCAGUUAGUUUAAGUAUAAGGCCUUAUUGCCUGAGUAGGAGUUUGCUCAAUAAGUUAGCAUAAGUAAGUAAACUAACAGUGAUCUUAAGUCACAAGAUAGCAUAAGACUUUAUGUUGGAGGGGAAUAUCAGCAGAUGCUCAACCGCAGGUAACCACAGUAAUCCAAUAGAUGUAUAUGUUAAUAAGCUUUGCCUAAUUAAUGUACUAACUAUGGGCUAAUGACACCCCAAUAUUAUGAAGUGAGGAAGUUAAAAUAUGAUAAAAGCUAUGCAUUCAUAUGCAUGAGGGACAUCAAGGCCUAUAAAAUAUCUGGUCUCAGGUACAGCCGUUGGAGUUUUUCAUCAGCAUGCCAGAGUUGGACUAAGAUCUGUCUCAACUACUAGAGCUCUCCCCAGUGAUAGAAUGAGUAUAUAUCUGUAAUGCGUGGGUGAUCCUAACAGUGCUGUAUUAUCUCACUUUUCUUGUUUGGGUUGUUUUACUUGUUGGGCUAAUUGUAAUAAUAAAACGUUUACAGUUACA